UUGUGGACGGCCCAUUGAAAUAUGGUUCGAUUUCGAACCAUGACGUGUUCGCCGUGUUUGAAUCACGCAUUUAACCUCACCGAUGAAAAAAACUAUGUAGAUACGUUGUCAACAGCUAGCCAAUCACUGUCAAGUAGUUUAGUUCGUUUUGAUAGCCUAUUGGCUUAGUUUUAUGUCAUUUUACAUCUUGUGAUUGCCCCGCCUCCGAUACUUCCGCGUUCAGCUCAUUCGCGGCUGUUCAAUGAAUAAACAUGUCGGACCAUACAUAUCGACAAGUCCGUUUUUCAGCUGCUGAGGUGGCAGAAAUGUGUUGUCAACACAUAAAUGAUGACAAUAGCAGUGAAGACAGUGAAAUAGGUGGCUUAUCUAGUGGAAAAGAGUACAAGUUGGACCGUGAACUGGAUGAAGACUUUCGUGACUCUGACUCCGACGACGACUAGCUGCUACGGCGACAACAACACAGAAAGCCUAAUGACAUUUAAACUCAACAUUCUCCUGGUUCUGCCACCGACUCAGAGGAGGAUGACCCUGACCCUUGAACCUGAAAGGACCAGAAGGAAUGCCAGAACGACCGUGCCCAGGGAGAGCUGCACAUCCAGUGAAUCAACCUGUUGUCCAGACAUAUAGCUAUGAUGAUCCAGACAUGCUCAACCAGUUGCCAUCUGUCCGUCCUGUACGCCAGCCUGGUGUUCACCUAGAUGUACAAGUAACACGAGGUACCAUGACCAAAGCCAUAGAUUUUUAAAAACUUUUUUCUACAGAUGCCCUCCUGCUACAAAUGCACCUACACAAAUGCUUAUGCUUGGGAGGAAAUCCUCAGAAAGCCCUAUUAUGGUGGUACAGAUGGUACAAGGAAAGAAACCAGUCCAGAUGAAUUGGCACGACUGAUGGCCCUUGUAAUGUUUUGUGGUCUUGUCCCAGUCAGUUCUUUUUACAGAUACUGGAGCCCCAAAACCAUGUACCAUGGCCUGUGGGCACGCAGCAUAAUGUCAAGAGACCGGUUCAAAGCAUUGAUGCCAAUGCUCCAUGUUGUAGAUACUGGUGCUGAAGAUGAGCGUGAUAAACUGUGCAAAAUCACUGGCCUGUUAGAGACUUUCAAGGUGACGUGUAGUAAAGCACU